UAAACAUUGACAGUUAAUAACACCCACUGUCCGCCUGGGAACUACGAGCACCAGCUUAAAACCCAAAGGACUUGGCGGUGCUUUAGACCCACCUAGAGGAGCCUGUUCUAGAACCGAUAAUCCCCGUUAAACCUCACCCUUCCUUGUCAUUUCCGCCUAUAUACCACCGUCGCCAGCUUACCCUGUGAAGGCCCAAUAGUAAGCACAAUCGGCAAUGCCCAAAACGUCAGGUCGAGGUGUAGCGUAUGGAAGGGGAAGAAAUGGGCUACAUUUACUAACACAGUAAAUACGGAUGAUUACCCUGCAACGAGUAUCUGAAGGAGGAUUUAGCAGUAAGCAAAAAGCAGAGUGUUUUGCUGAAAUUGGC
rnacentral:rRNA from 1 species